rfam:Burkholderiales bacterium RIFCSPLOWO2_02_FTLL_67_64 rifcsplowo2_02_scaffold_8791, whole genome shotgun sequence.
CCUCGUCGACCUGCUGCGGACAGAUGAAGUGGAUGUGGCUGUCGAUGCCGCCGGCGGUGACGAUGUGGCCUUCGCAGCUGAUGAUUUCGGUGCCCGGGCCGAUGACGAUGUCCACGCCGGGCAUGGUGUCCGGGUUGCCGGACUUGCCGAUGGCGGCGAUGCGGCCGUCCUUGAGGCCGAUGUCGGCCUUGACGAUGCCCCAGUGGUCGAUGAUGAGCGCGUUGGUCAGUACCGUGUCCAUCGCGCCUUGUGCACGGGUCCGUUGCGACUGCGCCAUGCCGUCGCGGAUG